AGAGUUUGAUCAUGGCUCAGAUUGAACGCUGGCGGCAUGCUUUACACAUGCAAGUCGAGCGGCAGCGCGGGGGCAACCCUGGCGGCGAGCGGCGAACGGGUGAGUAAUGCAUCGGAACGUACCCUGGAGUGGGGGAUAACGCCGCGAAAGCGGCGCUAAUACCGCAUAUGCUCUGAGGAGGAAAGUGGGGGACCGCAAGGCCUCACGCUCUGGGAGCGGCCGAUGUCCGAUUAGCUAGUUGGUGAGGUAAAGGCUUACCAAGGCGACGAUCGGUAGCUGGUCUGAGAGGAUGAUCAGCCACACUGGGACUGAGACACGGCCCAGACUCCUACGGGAGGCAGCAGUGGGGAAUUUUGGACAAUGGGGGCAACCCUGAUCCAGCCAUGCCGCGUGAGUGAAGAAGGCCUUCGGGUUGUAAAGCUCUUUUGGUCGGGAAGAAAGUGCCCUGCUUAAUACGCGGGGUAUUUGACGGUACCGGCAGAAUAAGCACCGGCUAACUACGUG
rnacentral:rRNA from 1 species